UACGUAGGGUGCAAGCGUUAAUCGGAAUUACUGGGCGUAAAGCGUGCGCAGGCGGUUGUGUAAGACAGAUGUGAAAUCCCCCGGGCUCAACCUGGGAACUGCAUUUGUGACUGCACAGCUGGAGUGCGGCAGAGGGGGGAUGGAAUUCCGCGUGUAGCAGUGAAAUGCGUAGAUAUGCGGAGGAACACCGAUGGCGAAGGCAAUCCCCUGGGCCUGCACUGACGCUCAUGCACGAAAGCGUGGGGAGCAAACAGG
rnacentral:rRNA from 1 species